rnacentral:tRNA from 1 species
CAGAGGAUAGUUUAAUUUAGAAUCCUAGCUUUGGGAGUUAGGGGCAGGAGUUAGAGCCUCCUUCCUCUGG